GCUGAUAUUUUGGGAUGUGUAUAGCAUUUUUAAUCGUACAUUACAAUCAAUCAUUUUUUACCCGCAGCUGAUUCGUAAUCAGCAGGUCGCCGGUUCAAAUCCGGCCAUCGGCU
rnacentral:tRNA from 1 species